AGUGAACGCUGGCGGUAGGCCUAACACAUGCAAGUCGAACGGCAGCACAGUAAGAGCUUGCUCUUACGGGUGGCGAGUGGCGGACGGGUGAGGAAUACAUCGGAAUCUACUUUUUCGUGGGGGAGAACGUAGGGAAACUUACGCUAAUACCGCAUACGACCUACGGGGGAAAUCAUGGGAUCUUCGGACCUUGCGCGAUCCAAUGAGCCGAUGUCGGAUUAGCUAGUUGGCGGGGUAAAGGCCCACCAAGGCGACGAUCCGUAGCUGGUCUGAGAGGAUGAUCAGCCACACUGGAACUGAGACACGGUCCAGACUCCUACGGGAGGCAGCAGUGGGGAAUAUUGGACAAUGGGCGAAAGCCUGAUCCAGCCAUACCGCGUGGGUGAAGAAGGCCUUCGGAUUGUAAAGCCCUUUUGUUGGGAAAGAAAAGCAGCAGGUUAAUACCCCGCUGUUCUGACGGUACCCAAAGAAUAAGCACCGGCUAACUUCGUG
rnacentral:rRNA from 1 species